rnacentral:rRNA from 1 species
UGAAUACGAGACGCUAAGGCGUCGAAGUAGUGUAUGUCAUACUUCCAAGAAAAGCUUGCACUGUCAUAGAUAAAAAACGCCUGUACCAUAACCGACACAGGUGGGUAGGUAGAGUAUACUAAGGGGCGCGAGAUAACUCUCUCUAAGGAACUCGGCAAAAUAACUCCGUAACUUCGGGAGAAGGAGUGCCUUAUUCGUAAGGUUGCAAUAACAAGAUCCAAGCAACUGUUUAUCAAAAACACAGGUCUCCGCUAAGUCGUAAGACGAUGUAUGGGGGCUGACGCCUGCCCAGUGCCAGAAGGUUAAAGAAGUUGGUUAGCAAUUGCGAAGCUGAUAACUGAAGCCCUGGUGAACGGCGGCCGUAACAAUAACGGUCCUAAGGUAGCGAAAUUCCUUGUCGGGUAAGUUCCGACCCGCACGAAAGGCGUAAUGAUUUGGAUACUGUCUCGGAGAGGGGCUCGGUGAAAUAGACUUGUCUGUGAAGAUGCGGACUACCAGCACCAGGACAGAAAGACCCUAUGAAGCUUUACUGUAACUUGAAAUUGAAAUUGGACUUUAUUCGCGCAGUAUAGGUGGGAGGCGUUGAUUAUAAUCUUGUGGGAUUAUUGGAGCCAUCAGUGAGAUACCACUCUUGUAAUGUUAGAUUUCUAACUUUGAAUCAUUAUCUGGUCAAAGAACAGUUUCAGGCGGGCAGUUUGACUGGGGCGGUCGCCUCCUAAACGGUAACGGAGGCGUACAAAGGUUUCCUCUGAACGGUUAGAAAUCGUAUCUAGAGUGUAAAGGCAUAAGGAAGCUUGACUGUGAGACCUACAAGUCGAGCAGGGACGAAAGUCGGUCUUAGUGAUCUGACGGUACUGAGUGGAAAGGCCGUCACUCAACGGAUAAAAGUUACUCUAGGAAACAGGCUGAUCUCCCCCAAGAGUUCACAUCGACGGGGAGGUUUGGCACCUCGAUGUCGGCUCAUCGCAUCCUGGGGCGGUAGUACGUCCCAAGGGUUGGGCUGUUCGCCCAUGAAAGCGGAACGCGAGCUGGGUUCAGAACGUCGUGAGACAGUUCGGUCCAUAUCCGGUGUAGGCGUUAGAAUAUUGAGAGGAGCCUUCUUUAGUACGAGAGGAUCGAGAAGGACAUACCUCUGGUGUACCAGUUAUCGUGCCAACGGUAAACGCUGGGUAGCUAUGUAUGGAGUGGAUAACCGCUGAAAGCAUCUAAGUGGGAAGCCCACCUCAAGAUAAGUAUUCUCAGC